GAUGUAGCCAAGUGGAUCAAGGCAGUGGAUUUGUGAAUCC
rnacentral:tRNA from 2 species